AAAAAUUUAGUUAAACCCCAUAACAUUAGCUUGUCAAGCUAAAAUUGUUAGAUUAAACCUAACAAUUUUUA